rnacentral:rRNA from 1 species
GACGAACGCUGGCGGCGUGCUUAACACAUGCAAGUCGAGCGGUAAGGCCCUUUCGGGGGUACACGAGCGGCGAACGGGUGAGUAACACGUGGGUGACCUGCCCUCAGCUCUGGGAUAAGCCCGGGAAACUGGGUCUAAUACUGGAUAUGACUCCAUGACGCAUGUUGUGGGGUGGAAAGCCUUGUGCGGCUGAGGAUGGGCCCGCGGCCUAUCAGCUUGUUGGGGGGUGAUGGCCUACCAAGGCGACGACGGGUAGCCGGCCUGAGAGGGCGACCGGCCACACUGGGACUGAGACACGGCCCAGACUCCUACGGGAGGCAGCAGUGGGGAAUCUUGCGCAAUGGGCGAAAGCCUGACGCAGCGACGCCGCGUGAGGGAUGACGGCCU